rnacentral:tRNA from 1 species
GCUGUGAUGGCCAAGUGGUUAAGGCGUUGGACUCGAAAUCCAAAUGACCAAUUUUGGUUAGAGUC